CAGACACAUCAAGAUAUCUAUGCCUGACAGGACCAAUGACCACAAGAUGCUGUAACUGUUAGCAAACUUAAAAACAGACAAAGCUGCAGGAACAGAUAAGAAGCCACUUGUUCUUUAACAACUUCGAGUUAGAUUGCUCCAAUUCUUGAAGCAUGGCUUCAAGGAGUGUUGCACCUGUGAGAACCAACUGCUGCAACUUGUUGAUGAAAUUGAAAGAAACAUCACAAAUCCCCAAAAAUGAUCCAGCAUAAUAGGUGCAGACCAUGAAGUUCUGAUGUAAAGACAUGCUGGUCUUUGUUCUACAGUUGUGGUGUAUGAGGGGAACAUAGUGUAUGGGAAUCUUGGAAAAUGUUUAAUAAUAUGAAAUUACAGUGAAGCAGAAUGGCUACGAACCAUGGACAUCAGAAAUGACGAGAUGCAGGUCUUUAUGCUACACGUAUGAUCAGUCACUGUAUCCAGAAAAUAAUUCUGGACAAAGUGGAAACAGCAUUGCUGAUUGCUCCAUUAUGGCCGACGCAGGUAUGGUUCUGCAAACUGCUACAACAAGUUUGUGCUCAAUCAUACAUUCUGCCAAAACACCGAACACUAAUACUGCCUCAAGAUCAAACAAGACAGCAUCACAUUCAGAAGAUGCGGCUGGGUGCUUUCGUAUUGUCCGGGAACAGCUUAAAGAUAAAGGAUUAUCAGAGGACACUGUCCAGAUUAUCUUACAGUCAUGGAAAAAAUCAACUGCAAAACAGUAUGGGUCUUAUUUCAGAAAAUGAUUGCUUUUUUCAAGUUCAAAAAACAUUGAUACAUUUAAUCCAUCUUCGGUAAAAGUGUUGGAAUUUUUGACAGAAUUAUUCAAUCAAGGAUUAGGUUAUAGUGCAAUCAAUACAGCGAAAUCUGCUAUUUCAUCUACUUGCAAUUUGAUAAAUAACAGAGAUAUUGGUAACGAAAUGAUAAUCAAAGAUUUAUGAGAGGAUUGUUUACAAUAAGACCAGCUUUGACAAAAUAUGAUCAUAUUUGGGAUGUUAAUAAAGUAUUGCAAUAUAUUUCCUCAUUACCGAAAUGUACAGAAAUGACUUAUCUUCAGUUAUCUCAAAAAUUAGCAACAUUGUUCAUGUUGUUAUCUGCACAGAGGUGCCAAACAAUCCAUUUAUUGAAAUUGUCUGAUUUACAUAUUUGUAAGGAACAAGUUGUUUGUCAAGUGUCGGAAUUAGUUAAACAAUCUAAACCUGGAUUACAUGUUAAGCCGAUACAAAUAUGUAGAUAUUCAGUUGAUUCUGACUGUUACAUCUAAGGUUAGAGGGUCUGAACAUAAAUUGUUUAUUUCAACAGUUAAACCUUUUAAAGCGGUCACAAAAAGUACAAUUUCUAGAUGGGUGAAACAGUUAAUGAAAGAAUCUGGUAUUGAUGUGGAUCACCUUUGGUGUACAUAGUUGUCGAGCAGCCUCCACAUCAGCAGCAGCAAUUAAAGGAGUUCAAUUAGAUUCAAUAAUGAAAGCUGCAGGUUGGAGUUCUACAAAAUUCUUUGCUCUGUAUUACAACAAAACUAUUGAAAAAUCUUUUUCUGAUGUAAUUCUUAGUGGGACAUAGUUUUAGAACACACCAUAAGAAUGCUCAAGAAUUGAUUGUAUAAUAAACUUUAGAUUAUACCUAAUGAAGGGAGUUAACUCUUAUCCUAUAGAAGAGAAUCUUUAUUAGCAGUUGUUUCCCUUAAUCAGUUGUUACAUUGUUGGGGUUAUAAAUAACUUUGUUUCAGUCUGCUUUGUUGAUAUAUAUACAUGUACUAGCUACAUAUUACUUCUAUUGUCUAUGCAUUGAUGAGUUAUGUACAGUUAUACAUGUAUAUUACUAUAGUAGUGUAAUACAAUUAGUUUGGAUAAACCAAAUUUUUUUGGUGUUUUUUUUGUUAAAUUAUACAAGGGUAAAUAAGGAAUGGAGAUUUUUUCUUUAAGGAAAAAUGAUAAACUGAUUGCUCAGCUCUGAAUUCUCAAGGAAAAUCUGGUCACGUGGUAGUUCAGUAAAAUUGGAAAAUUAAUCGAGACUUGUUGAAGAUUGAUUAAGAUUUUACUGAACUACCAGUGACUUAGAUUUUACAUGCCCACCCUGAGUGCAGUAAUUCCCAACCCUGGGCAAUACAGUUUAUCAUUUAGACAGUAGCUCUGAAGAAUUACCUUGACCUUCACACUUCCAUUCUCUCCUGUAAAAUCUAAGUCACUGGUAGUUCAAUAAAAUCUUAAUCAAU
rnacentral:lncRNA from 1 species